rnacentral:rRNA from 1 species
UACGUAGGGUGCAAGCGUUGUCCGGAAUUAUUGGGCGUAAAGAGCUCGUAGGCGGUCUGUUGCGUCGGCUGUGAAAACCCGGGGCUCAACCUGGGAAUUGCAUUCGAGACUGAAUAGCUAGGGUACGGUAGAGGGAAGCGGAAUUUCCGGUGUAGCGGUGAAAUGCGUAGAUAUCGGAAGGAACAUCAGUGGCGAAAGCGGCUUCCUGGUCCAGCACCGACGUUCAGGCACGAAAGCGUGGGGAGCAAACAGG